CAAAUCAGAAAAGUUUUGAAAGCAGUGGAGUGCUAAGUAAUUAAUUUCCCUAAUUGUUGAGGGAAAAAAAACCUUAUAUAAACCAAGGAUCAACAGUAAGACCCUAAACUCUUUAGCUAUCCUCGACAACGCUUUCGUCCUCGAUUUCUAGCUAUUUUUCAUUCAAGCACUUGUAGAAUUCAAGUUCUCCCUUGUUUGACUAAAGAAAACAUCAUGGCCUUUUCCCAUUUGUGCUUCGCGUUCAUGACGCUCAUGGUUACAUUCUGCAAUGCACAAGGAUUACAUUCUGCCAGCUGCAGAGCCGAAGAGAUAAGCAUCUCACAGACCCAAAUUCCAGGAACUGGGAUCCCAAAGUACGCAGUACAGAUUGUGAACACCUGCACUUCUGAUUGUGCUCCUUCACAAAUCCAUGUCCACUGUGGUCAGUUUGCUUCUGCAGAAGUUAUACCCAAAUCCGUCUUCACAAGGAUCGCGGAUGAUGAUUGCUUGGUGAAUGGAGGAGAGCCGUUGAAGUCGAACGAUGUCAUCAGCUUCACUUACUUCAACACCUUCAAGUUCCCCAUUUCUUUUAAGUCUGCCCAGUAUUGCUGAGCCCCAAACAGUCAAAACACUUUCUAGUGAUGGUAUAGAUAAAAGAGUUGCAUUUGUUGUCGCAGCUUUUAGUUUUCAAACCCUAGCUACAAGCCUACAAGCUAGUAUUUCGUUUCCGUUAUGUUCAAACCCUAGCUAGUAUUUCAAACCCUAUCUCCAAGUGUGUUCUUUUUUAGGAUAAAAAAACGGCCUCACAAAUAUUGUUUAUUGUUCCUUAGUUCCGUGUUUUACUUUUUCGUACAAUAUGUUUUGGAAUUAAUUUCAAUAAAAUUACA